GCCUGGGUGGCUCAGUCGGUUGAGCGUCCGACUUCGGCUCAGGUCACGAUCUCGCAGCUCGUGAGUUCGAGCCCCGCGUCAGGCU
rfam:Felis catus isolate Cinnamon breed Abyssinian chromosome B2, whole genome shotgun sequence.